rnacentral:rRNA from 1 species
AUUGAACGCUGCGGCAGGCUUAACACAUGCAAGUCGAGCGAGCGGCGGACAGGUGAGUAAUGCUUAGGAAUCGGCCUAUUAGUAGGGGACAACAUCUCGAAAGGGAUGCUAAUACCGCAUAAUAAUAGCUGAGCCUAAGUCGGAUUAGCUAGUUGGUGGGGUAAAGGCCUACCAAGGCGACGAUCUGUAGCGGGUCUGAGAGGAUGAGCCGCCACAAGGGGACUGAGACACGGCCCAGACUCCUACGGGAGGCAGCAGUGGGGAAUAUUGCACAAUGGGCGCAAGCCUGAUGCAGCCAUGCCGCGUGUGUGAAGAAGGCCUUCGGGUUGUAAAGCACUUUCAGCGGGGAGGCGUUACCCGCAGAAGAAGCACCGGCUAACGCCGUGCCAGCAGCCGCGGUAAUUC